rnacentral:tRNA from 1 species
UGGAGAGAUAGCGAAGAGGCNAAACGCGGCGGACUGUAAAUCCGCUCCUUCGGGUUCGGGGGUUCGAAUCCCUCUCUCUCCAUC